rnacentral:misc_RNA from 1 species
UCUUAAUCAAGUAAUUCUCUCUAUAGAUAUAUUUCAAUUUAAUGGCCAAUCAGUUUCUGCUUUUUGCCUAUAUUUUGCUGCAAAAUAUUAAGAAAAAUCUUGGCUCUAUAAUGGUUUAAGUUUAUAGGCUUGUUCACAUUCAUACUUUGUGAAAAUUGUUUAGAAGGAGCUUCUUUUGCUUUCAUGUCCUGCAAUUAAAUGUCCAUUUUUAGCCCUAAAUUCAAUCUAAAUCUCAUGUAUUGUUUACUUGUUG